UACAGAGGUCCCAAGCGUUGUUCGGAUUCACUGGGCGUAAAGGGUGCGUAGGUGGCGGGGUAAGUCUGAUGUGAAAUCUCCGAGCUUAACUCGGAAACUGCAUCGGAUACUGCCUUGCUCGAGGGUUGGAGGGGGGACUGGAAUACUUGGUGUAGCAGUGAAAUGCGCAGAUAUCAGGAGGAACACCAAUGGCGAAGGCAGCUCGCUGGAACGGAACUGACGCUGAGGCGCGAAAGCGUGGGGAGCGAACAGG
rnacentral:rRNA from 1 species